rnacentral:rRNA from 1 species
UACGUAGGCAGCGAGCGUUGUUCGGAGUUACUGGGCGUAAAGGGUGUGUAGGCGGUUGUUUAAGUUUGGUGUGAAAUCUCCCGGCUCAACUGGGAGGGUGCGCCGAAUACUGAAUGACUUGGAGUGCGGGAGAGGUGAGUGGAAUUCCUGGUGUAGCGGUGAAAUGCGUAGAUAUCAGGAGGAACACCGGUGGUGUAGACGGCUCACUGGACCGUAACUGACACUGAGAAACGAAAGCCAGGGUAGCAAACGGG